rnacentral:misc_RNA from 1 species
AAGUCGUAACAAGGUUUCCGUAGGUGAACCUGCGGAAGGAUCAUUACAGAUUGUUUUCAAAAACAAAAUUGGACUAAGCUGUUGCUGGUUUUUUCGAAAGAGAAAGCAUGUGCACGCUUUGGCUUCAGUUUUUGACCACCUGUGCACCCUUGUGUGGAUUUUUGAAUAUUCAGGAAGAAAAAAAAAAUUCCUGGUCAGAGAAGAUGUCUCAGAAACAUACAGUAUGGGACUUUUCUUGUAUUUCAGAUCUACAUCAUUUUUUUUUUUUCUACAUACACUUUGUAUUACAUAUUGGAACGAUUAAAUGAUUCAAAUUUUCAUUUUGAAAACAACUUUCAACAACGGAUCUCUUGGCUCUC